rnacentral:rRNA from 1 species
CCAGACUCCUACGGGAGGCAGCAGUGGGGAAUAUUGGGCAAUGGGGGAAACCCUGACCCAGCGACGCCGCGUGAGGGAAGAAGGUUUUCGGAUUGUAAACCUCUGUCCUUGGUGACGAUAAUGACGGUAGCCAAGGAGGAAGCCCCGGCUAACUACGUGCCAGCAGCCGCGGUAAUACGUAGGGGGCAAGCGUUAUCCGGAUUUACUGGGUGUAAAGGGAGCGUAGACGGCGAUGCAAGUCUGAAGUGAAAGGCGGGGGCCCAACCCCCGGACUGCUUUGGAAACUGUAUAGCUGGAGUGCAGGAGAGGUAAGUGGAAUUCCUAGUGUAGCAGUGAAAUGCGUAGAUAUUAGGAGGAACACCAGUGGCGAAGGCGGCCUGCUGGACGACAACUGACGGUGAGGCGCGAAAGCGUGGGGAGCAAACAGGAUUAGAUACCCGAGUA